rnacentral:misc_RNA from 1 species
UUCGCGAUUGUACAAGACUCGGACGACACUACACAUCAGCGUUUGGGGGGGCCUCUGGCGGGCGCGCACACCGGGCGACCGGUGGGCCCAGGCGGCGCGCCUGGGCGGCCCGCCGAGGCAACGGCUGUAGCGAUCACAGUGGGUGGGAGAUCCGCCCGCGAGGGGCGAGAGCUCGGUAAUGAUCCCUCCGCAGGUUCACCUACGGAGA